rnacentral:rRNA from 1 species
AGUGAACGCUGGCGGCAGGCCUAACACAUGCAAGUCGAGCGGCAGCGCGUCCGACCACCCUCGGGUGGUCGGAUGGCGGCGAGCGGCGGACGGGUGAGGAAUGCAUCGGAAUCUGCCUCGUUGUGGGGGAGUAACGUAGGGAAACGUUAACGCUAAUACCGCAUACGACCUACGGGUGAAAGUAGGGGGACCGUUCGGGCCGUCACGCGAUGAGAUGAGCCGAUGCCGGAUUAGCUAGUUGGCGGGGUAAAGGGCCCGACCAAGGCGACGAUCCGUAGCUGGUCUGAGAGGAUGAUCAGCCACACUGGAACUGAGACACGGUCCAGACUCCUACGGGAGGCAGCAGUGGGGGAAUAUUGGACAAUGGGGGCGAACCCUGAUCCAGCCAUGCCGCGUGUGUGAAGAAGGCCUCGG